AGGACGAACGCUGGCGGCGCGCUUAACACAUGCAAGUCGAGCGAGAACCUUUCCUUCGGGAUUGGGGACAGCGGCGAACGGGUGAGUAACACGUGGGUAAUCUGCCCUUGACAUCGGGAUAGCCCGGGGAAACCCGGAUUAAUACCGAAUAGCCUCCGGAGCCCUCGGGCGCCGGAGAAAAGGUAGCUUCGGCCUCUGGUCAAGGAUGAGCCCGCGGCGGAUUAGCUUGUUGGCGGGGUAAUGGCCCACCAAGGCGACGAUCCGUGGCUGGUCUGAGAGGACGAUCAGCCACACUGGGACUGAGACACGGCCCAGACUCCUACGGGAGGCAGCAGUGGGGAAUCUUGCGCAAAUGCGGGAAACCGUGACGCAGCGACGCCGCGUGGGGGAAGAAGGGCCUUCGGGUUGUAAACCUCUUUCAGGAGGGACGAAGCUACUCGGGUUAAUAGCCCAGAGGGUGACGGUACCUUCAGAAGAAGCCCCGGCUAACUACGUGCCAGCAGCCGC
rnacentral:rRNA from 1 species